rnacentral:rRNA from 1 species
UACGUAGGGGGCGAGCGUUAUCCGGAUUCAUUGGGCGUAAAGCGCGCGUAGGCGGCCUGUUAGGUCGGGGGUCAAAUACCGGGGCUCAACCCCGGUCCGCCCCCGAUACCGGCAGGCUUGAGUCUGGUAGGGGAAGGCGGAAUUCCCAGUGUAGCGGUGGAAUGCGCAGAUAUUGGGAAGAACACCGGCGGCGAAGGCGGCCUUCUGGGCCACGGACUGACGCUGAGGCGCGAAAGCUAGGGGAGCGAACGAGG